rnacentral:rRNA from 1 species
CCUACGGGUGGCAGCAGUUAGGAAUUUUGCGCAAUGGGGGAAACCCUGACGCAGCAACGCCGCGUGAGUGAUGAAGGCCUUCGGGUUGUAAAGCUCUUUUAGUUGGGAAGAAAAAAAUGACGGUACCAACAGAAAAAGCACCGGCUAACUCCGUGCCAGCAGCCGCGGUAAUACGGAGGGUGCAAGCGUUAUUCGGAAUUACUGGGCGUAAAGCGCGUGUAGGCGGUUUGGUAAGUCUGGUGUGAAAUCCCUGGACUCAAUUCAGGAAGUGCAUUGGAUACUGCCAAACUGGAGUAUAGGAGAGGAAAGCGGAAUUCCUGGUGUAGAGGUGAAAUUCGUAGAUAUCAGGAGGAACAACAGUGGCGUAGGCGGCUUUCUGGACUAUAACUGACGCUAAGGCGCGAAAGCGUGGGGAGCAAACAGGAUUAGAUACCCUAGUAGUC